rnacentral:lncRNA from 1 species
GACCGUGGUAGUAGUGAGGAACGUGACAAUUCCGAGUCACCUUUGCAGACCAUAUCUCGUUAGCAGGAAGGAUAGGGUUUAUAGGUGCGGGUUGAACAUCCUUUGUGGUGUCUAGAUUCCGUUAGCCUCCCCAAUAGAACAGCAGAUCAUCCUUACCAAGGUUAGAAAGGAGACAACGGUUGCAGGCUUCUCUAUUUAUCACUCACAUCAAAAGACAUUCUUUGUGCCUAAAGGGUUAGUAGUAAUAGACUGGUUAGUC